UACAGAGGGUGCAAGCGUUAAUCGGAAUUACUGGGCGUAAAGCGAGCGUAGGUGGCUUGAUAAGUCAGAUGUGAAAUCCCCGGGCUUAACCUGGGAACUGCAUCUGAUACUGUUGAGCUAGAGUAGGUGAGAGGGAAGUAGAAUUCCAGGUGUAGCGGUGAAAUGCGUAGAGAUCUGGAGGAAUACCGAUGGCGAAGGCAGCUUCCUGGCAUCAUACUGACACUGAGGCUCGAAAGCGUGGGUAGCAAACA
rnacentral:rRNA from 1 species